UACGUAGGGUGCAAGCGUUGUCCGGAAUUAUUGGGCGUAAAGAGCUCGUAGGCGGUUUGUUGCGUCGGCUGUGAAAUCCCGAGGCUCAACCUCGGGUCUGCAGUCGAUACGAGCAAACUAGAGUGUUGCAGGGGAGACUGGAAUUCCUGGUGUAGCGGUGAAAUGCGCAGAUAUCGAGGAGGAACACCGGUGGCGAAGGCGGCAUCCUGGACCAAUUCUGAC
rnacentral:rRNA from 1 species